AUCAUUUAGCAUGAAGAAAUCUGCGCUGUACAUUUCCAAUCAUUCAUUUUCUUUAUUUUCACAAAAUGUAUGUCUGUUUGCUCGGUUCAGUCUUUCACCAGACUGUCUAAUAGUGAACUACUAUAAAUGGCAGCAAGUCAGCUGCACGUCAAAUGGGGGAGCCAUUAAUUCACUGUGAUUCAGUUAAAUAUUUGCUCAGUAAUUUCAGUGCUUGAUGCAAUGUAACCCAAAUUUUAAAAAGAAAUAUAAUUCACAUUGGGUAUUUGUGCAUUUGCCUGCUGUGCAAGAUCACAGAAGCCAAGAAUAUAUAUUCUGUACCUUUUAUUAGCAUCACCUUGAUGCACAUGAAAGGAUUUUUAUCAUGAACACAACAGAAGCUAUGGAAUGUUUCUCAAAAUCCAGAACUCCAAAAUUAAACUAUCAUGGGAAAUAGAUGUCUUUCUUUUCGUAAAGAAAAAAAAAUACCAUUAACUUUCCAGCAGUCUAAAGAUUAAAUAAUAAAGUAAUACACCAAUGUAAAUUAAAAAAAAAAAAAAACCUGUGUUUUAUUAAAAGUAGACUUGAUUAAAACCAACAAUAAUAAUAUUGUGUAGAACUGUAAGUAGCUAUUUAUGUUGUCAAUGCCUUUUUUCAGUAGUACAACGUUGGAGUUGUUUUUUUGUUUCCUCCUAUAAGCACGUGAGAAUUUUUCUGUACCUAAACAAGCCCCUCCGUGUUCUGUGCAUUAAAGAGAAACUGAAUAAAUGAUGCCGAUCGCACCAGACACAGAGGAUGGGUGUAACGGUUAAAAGAGCCUUCAUUUGAAAAGGUAAAUAAAGCAAGUAAACGUUUUAAUCUCACCUAAUCUACCUUAACAUAAACAAUAAAAUCAAGUUCAGAAAUUUAUUUCAGGGCGUUAAGUUUUUUUCUAAACUCUUCUAAAUGUCUGCUAGAAAUAUAAAAACUGGAUAUGGAGCUCUAUUGGGCUUUAUUUAAUUAUAUAUUAUUAAAAUAAUGAAAAAAUGCAUAAACAGAGACAAAAAGUAAAAAUGUGACAUACAGACUUAGCUAAAUAUCACUAUUAAAAUACAUAAUAUGCUCCAUUAAUAUGAAAUCAGACACAAUACUUUUCUGUAAACAGUUACGUCUAAAUUUAUUUUUUUUUAAUGACAGCAUAAGACAUCAUAUUUUGGAGAAUGCUCUUUUACUAAUAUAAAUAUGUUCUACAUUGCAGGAACCAAAUGAUGCUUUGGGACAAGAAGAAUUUUGCCCCUUUUGUAAAACUGAAGUAGUGUUUAAGUGACAGAAUCAAAACAAAGUGGCCUCCCAAAGGCAUGUGGAUACCAAAGGAGGAUAAAAAAUAUCUCCCUGCUGUAUUAGAAAGAGAAGAUAUUCUGCACACUGUGCUCAAACACUGAUCAUUUUCCUCCCUAGAAGCAUUUAUAUGAAUGAAUUACUAAAAUACGUGGGAGUCUAUGGCUUGAAAUGACAAAAUAACUAAUCAAGGAAGCUUGAGAAAGAGCAGAAGACUUCAAUAAUGAGACAUUUAUAUCUUUAACACCAUUCCGGACACAAAUUCUCUGGAAGGAUUAAUAAAAGCAGAUGCCCACACCCUUCUAAGAAGAACAUUUGUUUUUCAUCAGCACUCCCCAAUACCUGAAAGUGCCACAAAAGGACUUCUGGCUACUUUGCAGGACUGGUUACUAUUGAAAGACAAUUACAUUCAGUUUAAGAUUUUCCAGGGCAUUUUUAAAAAAAGUGUGGCACUCUAGUUAUUUGAGUCCAUAAAUUACAGUAAAUCAUUGUAGUGGAGUUAAUAGCUCAAUGAAAAGAACUUUUGGAAGCUGCAUAUUAAGGAAAGAUAUACAGUAUGCUCUUAGGGACUUAGUUCAUACAUUAUGAAUCAAACAGAGAUAAAGAGGCUAAGAAUCAGCAUGAGGUUCAAUUCAUUUUAGUUUGAGCUUUGUCACCAGCAGUAAGGUCCAAGACCCUGAACAAACCAGAUGAGUGCACUAACACUGCUGUAUAAAACAUUAGAUGUACUGUAUAGUUUGACAGUUUUUUAUACUGUAUAUACAACAUGACACAGGCUUACAAAUAGGGAAAAAGUAACUGAUAUUUUUGGACAUUGUAUAUAUUUAUUGCAUUGUUUUAUUGUUUUAAUUAAAGUAAAAAUCAAAAGAA